rnacentral:lncRNA from 1 species
CUAAAUAUAGACUUCAAGGACUUGCCCGGGCACUGAUUGCCCGCGCCGGCCGAUCGGGCCUCAGGGGAGGGACGAGGCUGAGAGAGGGGACCCUCCAACUCCGGCCCUUCCAGGGGCGCCGGGGGACCGAAGAGAGAUUUGGGAAGGAGGGCUCUCUGGCGAGCUGGGAGGCUGUGACCUGGCCACAGGCGGCGGUCGCGGCGCGGAGGGCGCCCGAGGGUGUCCCAGGGGCCCUGGGAAGCGUUCUGGGCUCCCGCGUCUCUGCACCGUUGCAUCUCAAAGCGGGAGGACACAGUUCCGCGCCUAUGCCCAAGUGGAGGCAACUCGCCAUGCAGGGAUCUGCCUUCCUGUGGAAUGAUCUCCAAUGAUCUUCAAGUAUCUCCUGCAGACCCAGUUCUCUUGCUAAAUAAGUCACUGGAAGAUAAUUCCUGGACACACCUUGGACAGCUCCCCACAUUUCUCUAUUUGGAGCUUUGGGGUGGUAGGAAAUUGAUGCCCUCAGAAAGGACACCCCCAACCAGCAAGAAACCAGAGUUGGUGGAAAACAUCAUUUCUUCACUCUCGAUGGGACAACCUGAAGGCAUGUUCUAGUCAAUACUCCUUCUCACAGGUCCCCAACAAGAGUUAGAGACAGAGUCUCGCUCUGUUGUUCAGGCUGGAGUGCAGUGGCGCCAUCAUGGCUCACUGCAGCCUUGAACUCCUGGGCUCAAGCAAUUCUCCCACCCGAGUAGCUGGAGUAUAGGUUCUCACCAACACGCACAGCUCUUUAUCUUUGACUUUCUGUUUCAUUUCUCUAUUCCCUCAUUAUGCUUCCUGGGAUCAUUUCACAGAUAAGCUACUUGCUCCCAAAUCCUUGUCUCAGGGGCAGUCAACAGAGACAGUGGCAGAGGACCAUGGGAGAGCUAGAAUUUCAGGUCUCCAGACUCCUAGUCCAGUGCUCUUUCCAGGGUUUCUCAACCUUGGCACUAUUAACAUUUUGGACUGGAUAAUGCAUUGCUAGGGAGGGUUGACCUAUGCACCGUAGGAUGUUUAGUAGCAUCCCUGACCUUUGUCCACUAAAUGCCACUAGCAUCCUCCAGUUGGGAACAGUCAAAACUGUUUUCUGCUUUAUCAGAAGUUCCCCGGGGCAAAACACUGUGGUUGCAAACCACUAUUCCACAUCAGGCCAUCUCCCUUGCCAGGUCCAGAGAAAGAAUUUCAAGCCCCAAGAUUCCUUUCCCCUCCCUGUUGCUCUUUAGAUCACAUAAAUGAAACCACUGGAAACUGACCCCCCAAUCCUUUAUUAGAGAUGAGUGAAAUAACAAGUCUGAGAUGAAUGAAACCAGACACUGGGGGCUCAAAAGACAACCCUGUUCCUGUGGGAACCACAGACCAGUCAGGUCUCCAGGGGAAACAGCACAGCCUCCCCAGCCAGGCAGCUGUGUUGGCCAUUGGUGCUCUCUAGUCUCCCCUGCUUGGCUUGGCCCAUUCCUGCCAGGGCCCAGCACCCAGCAACUGGCAAGUUGAGAUGUUAGUGGUUGAUGAUGGCUUAGGUGUAUCUGCUUUCUCAUUGGGGCUGAGCAAUGAUAGAAUUUCUAGGGCUGGGAAGCAGAACCCUUAAGUCUCUGCCCUCCCAAUUCUAUUACUCUCCCUUCUUUCUUUGCCUCUCCAUUCCCUCAGACUAAAAGGCUCCUGAGUUGACCAAGAGAAAGAGAAGAGAAGUGGGCAUCCAUCAACCCUGACUAUUCCUUUCCUUCCUGCUAAAUCAAGGACACAGGCAAAUGUGGGUGCAUCUGACUCUACAAUUUGGCUGGGGAAUAUAGGAGAAUGCCUAGGGAAGGCUGUGCUGUCCCUCAAAAGGAGUGACAUUCAGAAUAUUUUUAUUUAACAGCCAGUACAGCAUGCAUGUUGACCAGCCAGAAUGGAUGUGAUCUGUAGACAAUUGUAAUGGUCAUAUAGGUAUAAACCAGCUGAGUCCAGAGCCAUGCCCUGGAAUCUGACCCUGCCUAUUCCCAAGCCCAACCCUUAAGACCAGCUUUCCACCAAAGGACCACCCCUGCAGGGCCCUUGUCUUACUCGUGUGGUAUCUGAAGUGCCUAACACAGGUCCAGACAUAGAGUUGGAAUUUAGUGAAGGAAUAUUAGACUAAUAAAUGGCUGGCUGAGAAGACAGUCCCUACUUGGCAGGGUCCCUGAUCUGGAAGUCAGUGAUGGAGGGCUCUCCUGCCCUUGUGAAGCCCCCAGACUGACGGGGGAAAUAGAGUCUCGAUCUGAUGAGGGACUGAGAGUUCUGCAGCUGAAGCCAGCUCAGGAGCACUCAGAUCCAGCCACAGGGCUCCCAGGCCCCUAGCGGGUAAUGAGAUAGGAAAGAACCGCCAUCAGUCCUAACAGGGAAAGGCCAUGUGUCCUUGGUAGAGGCAUGGCCUGUGGCAGGAAGAAGGCCAGCUACAGAGG